GUUCUGAGAGGAAGGUCCCCCACAUUGGAACUGAGACACGGUCCAAACUCCUACGGGAGGCAGCAGUGAGGAAUAUUGGUCAAUGGGCGAGAGCCUGAACCAGCCAAGUAGCGUGAAGGAUGAAGGUCCUACGGAUUGUAAACUUCUUUUAUACGGGAAUAAAGUUUCCUACGUGUAGGAUUUUGUAUGUACCGUAUGAAUAAGCAUCGGCUAACUCCGUGCCAGCAGCCGCGGUAAUACGGAGGAUGCGAGCGUUAUCCGGAUUUAUUGGGUUUAAAGGGAGCGCAGACGGGAGAUUAAGUCAGUUGUGAAAGUUUGCGGCUCAACCGUAAAAUUGCAGUUGAUACUGGUUUCCUUGAGUGCAGUUGAGGCAGGCGGAAUUCGUGGUGUAGCGGUGAAAUGCUUAGAUAUCACGAAGAACCCCGAUUGCGAAGGCAGCUUGCUAAACUGUAACUGACGUUCAUGCUCGAAAGUGUGGGUAUCAAACAGGAUUAGAUACCCUGGUAGUCCACACGGUAAACGAUGGAUACUCGCUGUUGGCGAUAUACUGUCAGCGGCCAAGCGAAAGCAUUAAGUAUCCCACCUGGGGAGUACGCCGGCAACGGUGAAACUCAAAGGAAUUGACGGGGGCCCGCACAAGCGGAGGAACAUGUGGUUUAAUUCGAUGAUACGCGAGGAACCUUACCCGGGCUUAAAUUGCAGACGAAUUACGAGGAAACUUGUAAGCCGCAAGGCGUCUGUGAAGGUGCUGCAUGGUUGUCGUCAGCUCGUGCCGUGAGGUGUCGGCUUAAGUGCCAUAACGAGCGCAACCCUCGUGGUCAGUUACUAACAGGU
rnacentral:rRNA from 1 species